rnacentral:rRNA from 1 species
UACGGGGGGGGUUAGCGUUGUUCGGAAUUACUGGGCGUAAAGCGCACGUAGGCGGAUUGGAAAGUUGAGGGUGAAAUCCCGGGGCUCAACCCCCGGAACUGCCUCCAAAACUUCCAGUCUGGAGUUCGAGAGAGGUGAGUGGAAUUCCGAGUGUGGAGGUGAAAUUCGUAGAUAUUCGGAGGAACACCAGUGGCGAAGGCGGCUCACUGGCUCGAUACUGACGCUGAGGUGCGAAAGUGUGGGGAGCAAACAGGAUUAGAUACCCCCUGUAGU